rnacentral:rRNA from 1 species
CGAUAUCGACGUAGUUUGAUCAUGGCUCAGAAUCAACGCUGGCGGCGUGCCUCAGACAUGCAAGUCGAACGAUUAAAGCUCUCUUCGGAGAGUGUAUAGAGUGGCGCACGGGUGAGUAACACGUAAGUAAUCUACCCUCGAGUGGGGAAUAACAACCGGAAACGGUUGCUAAUACCGCAUAAUGCAGCGGCACCGCAAGGUGACAGUUGUUAAAGAUUUAUCGCUUGAGGAGGAGCUUGCGGCAGAUUAGCUAGUUGGUAGGGUAACGGCUUACCAAGGCUACGAUCUGUAACCGGUCUAAGAGGACGGUCGGUCACACUGACACUGAAUAACGGGUCAGACUCCUACGGGAGCAGCAGUCGGGAAUUUUGGGCAAUGGGCGAAAGCCUGACCCAGCAACGCCGCGUGAAGGAUGAAGUAUUUCGGUAUGUAAACUUCGAAAGAAUAGGAAGAAUUAAUGACGGUACUAUUUAUAAGGUCCGGCUAACUACGUG